AAAGUUCCCAUAUAAAUUCAGCUAAAAAUGCCCCACUUGCAAAAAAUCCAAACACCUAUGAAAGUGAAAAGAAUACAGGAAUUAAAAAUGUACAAACACUGACAGUAUUCUAAGUGUCUGGAGAGAUCUGUUAAUAAUGCUCAUAUAUUAAAUCAUUAGUUCCAUUUAAAUUGGCAAUGGGUUGGAAGUGAUACUGUAGCAUAUAAAAUGUAAAAGGUUUUACAGUUCUCAUUCUCUUAAUCAGCUGUGGAUAUUAGAAUAUUUUCUAAACAGAUCUUAAUAGUGGAAGUAUAUACAUAUUUAUAUAUUCUUUUUUUUUCCAGUAAAACUAUUGAAGAAGUAUAGCAUUGAUGGUGUAGCACAACAGUUAUACAACAGAUGCAUGCAGUUUAGAAGGACCAAGCAAAGAAGAGUAACAGAUGGAAGGUGAAGAGAUAAAGCAGCGGAAGCUCAGCAAGGCCUUGCUGGGUCAGCAAGACAAGUAUAGAUCACCAACUGUUUUUGAAACCUAUCGAGCAGCUACCCAUGAUGGUUAGGACAGGCCCCUCAUAACUUCUCUUUCUCCUACCUGGAAAGCUUUUUAAGCAAUGCUUCUGCUCAGUGAGCACACGAGAGUGUUGGAAAUCACCUAUGAUUCCUCUGAGCAUGAGACAUCUGACUGAACAGCCACUUCGCCGGAAAACAGGCUCCGACACACUUAGAGUCAGCAGCCAGUCCCACUGCCCCCCUGUGAGUACUUCCCCUCUCUAUUCCUUGCACCGUUACCAGCACCGCCGGACAGACAGCAGCACGAAUCGGGCGCCCACGUGCUGAAGGCACUCAGAACACAACAAGCCGGCAAAAGGGGAAGCCUGCAUUUUCUGGUGCGCGCAGGACCGCCCGAUGAGAAGCAGCGUCUCAGCCGUCCGGACGGGUUACCAUCACUGUGCGUGGUGCUCUACAGGAGGCAGGAAAGGCGCUGCCGGGGCGUGCGAGGAGCGGCCAAGUCCACAGCCGUACCCCGAGCCUCAGAGCAGGGUUUCCACCUCCUCUUUCACCCCCGUAGCUCUCUGCAGAAAGCGCUGCCCCUCAGAUUCUAAGCCUCGGCACCGAGCAGCACAGCCGUGCUGGCGGCGGCCUUUCGCCUCAGCCGUGACACGACAAAGGAGCGCGCCCCGUUCCGCCC